rnacentral:rRNA from 1 species
CUACGGGUUGCUGCAGCGAGGAAUAUUGCACAAUGGGGGGAACCCUGAUGCAGCAACGCCGCGUGGAGGAUGACGCAUUUCGGUGUGUAAACUCCUUUUAUAUGUCAAGAAAAUGACGGUAGCAUAUGAAUAAGCACCGGCUAACUCCGUGCCAGCAGCCGCGGUAAUACGGAGGGUGCAAGCGUUACUCGGAAUCACUGGGCGUAAAGGACGCGUAGGCGGGUUGGAAAGUCAGGUGUGAAAUCCUACAGCUUAACUGUAGAACUGCACUUGAAACUUCUAAUCUAGAGUAUGGGAGGGGGAGAUGGAAUUAGUGGUGUAGGGGUAUAAUCCGUAGAUAUCACUAGGAAUACCUAAAGCGAAGGCGAACUCCUGGAACAUUACUGACGCUAAGGCGUGAAAGCGUGGGGAGCAAACAGGAUUAGAUACCCCUGUAGUC